rnacentral:rRNA from 1 species
AGAGUUUGAUCCUGGCUCAGGAUGAACGCUAGCGGCAGGCUUAACACAUGCAAGUCGAGGGGUAACAGGGAAGCUUGCUUCCGCUGACGACCGGCGCACGGGUGCGUAACGCGUAUGCAACCUACCUCAUACUGGAGAAUAGCCCUUGGAAACGAGGAUUAAUGCUCCAUAGUAUCAUAGAUUCGCAUGUUUCUGUGAUUAAAGAAUUUCGGUAUGAGAUGGGCAUGCGUCCCAUUAGCUUGUUGGUGAGGUAACGGCUCACCAAGGCAACGAUGGGUAGGGGGCCUGAGAGGGUGACCCCCCACACUGGUACUGAGACACGGACCAGACUCCUACGGGAGGCAGCAGUGAGGAAUAUUGGGCAAUGGAGGCAACUCUGACCCAGCCAUGCCGCGUGAAGGAUGACUGCCCUAUGGGUUGUAAACUUCUUUUAUAUGGGAAGAAACUUAUCUACGUGUAGAUAACUGACGGUACCAUACGAAUAAGGAUCGGCUAACCCCGUGCCAGCAGCCGCGGUAAUACGGAGGAUCCAAGCGUUAUCCGGAUUCAUUGGGUUUAAAGGGUCCGUAGGCGGGUCUUUAAGUCAGUGGUGAAAGCCGACAGCUCAACUGUCGAACUGCCAUUGAUACUGGAGACCUUGAGUACAAAUGAAGUAGGCGGAAUGAGUCAUGUAGCGGUGAAAUGCAUAGAUAUGACUCAGAACACCGAUUGCGAAGGCAGCUAACUAACAUGUAACUGACGCUGAGGGACGAAAGCGUGGGGAGCGAACAGGAUUAGAUACCCUGGUAGUCCACGCCGUAAACGAUCAUCACUCGCUGUUGGCGA